UGAAAAGAAAUAGCAUUGAAUAACACACAUGCAAGAACAAAGUAUGCAAAAGAUUAUUCAUAUUUUAAUUUAUCAUAAUAUGACUACCAUGAUGCAAUAGGUUGGUCUCACUACAGAGAUGGAUGAGGAAUGGAUUGUAUGGGAAGCAAAUUUUGGACUGUCAGAAGCACAGAGCACACUAAGAUUUUCCAACAUCUUAUAACGAUUCUCAAUACAAUGACAUGGAAUUGUCACAACCCUCCCACCUGAACAUCUUAUGAUAAAUCAUUCAAUCUAGUGAUUAUUCCAUUAUUAUCUGCGUGAGUCCCGGUCAAUACCACUACAGGCCGGACAUCUGCCGUGCCAGCCCGGGACCCACAGACUGCCGGAGAACCGCUCACCCUCCACACAGACGGGCAGAACAUAAGACGCAGCCGUCCCCAGUACAGGACCCAGCCGCGACAGCCUUACCAGCCCGGGCAGAAGUAUAUCCUGCGGAGGGUGAGUGGUGCUGUGCACCGACCAUCAUUACAAGCGCUACAGUAACACAGCGCUGUUUAAGACAUUCUGCUACCUGGCACUAGCACACCAGUGAACUGUAUCUAAAACUGCACCACCAAUGAACUGAAUACAAAGUAUACAAAAAGUAUACAAAUACAUAAACUGUAUCACCUACAGAUAUAGUACAAUAUUAAGACUGGUGAACCACAAUACUAGGGGAUCAAGUGCAAUGGACAAACUGAAACUUUUGUGAUACUUUUGAGCAUUUUAUUACUUUAUUGCUAAUAUUUUAUUUAUUUUUUAUCUUAUCCCAUUCAUAUUAAAUUAUACUGCCGU